ACGGAGGGUGCAAGCGUUAUUCGGAAUUACUGGGCGUAAAGCGCGUGUAGGCGGUCCUGCAAGUCUGAUGUGAAAGCCCCGGGCUUAACUCGGGAACUGCAUUGGAAACUGUAGGUCUUGAGUACUGGAGAGGUUGGCGGAAUUCCUGGUGUAGAGGUGAAAUUCGUAGAGAUCGGGAGGAAUACCAAUGGCGAAGGCGCCCAACUGGACGGUAACUGACGCUGAGACGCGAAAGCGUGGGGAGCAAACAG
rnacentral:rRNA from 1 species